UACGUAGGGUGCGAGCGUUAAUCGGAAUUACUGGGCGUAAAGCGUGCGCAGGCGGUUCGUUGUGUCGGCGGUGAAAGCCCCGGGCUUAACCUGGGAAUGGCCGUUGAAACUGGCGAACUGGAGUGUGGCAGAGGGGGGUGGAAUUCCGCGUGUAGCAGUGAAAUGCGUAGAGAUGCGGAGGAACACCGAUGGCGAAGGCAGCCCCCUGGGCUAACAUUGACGCUCAGGCACGAAAGCGUGGGGAGCAAACAGG
rnacentral:rRNA from 1 species